CGGAGAGUCGUAUAGUGGCAGUACGCCUGCUUUGGGAGCAGGUAGCCCGAGUUCGAUUCUCGGCUCUCCGACAA
rnacentral:tRNA from 2 species